ACAGCUCUAGUUCGAAUUAUAAAAUUUUUCUAAAAAAUUAGACAAAAAUAAAAGUAACUUCUUGACUCUUGUAGUUUGUUGUAAAUUUAAUUUGUUAUUUAAGAUUUUGGUCUAGUUUUAAACAGUGAAUAAGUAUAAGUUUGUAUAUAUUGAUAGUAUGCGUUCAGUAGUUAUGAUAUAUUUAAUCAAAUUGUAAUCUUUUCUUUUAAUAUAAGAUUGCGUCGUAAGGUCAAUAAUUAGUAGAAAUGGAUGAUAAUUUACCAAGCGAUGAUGAAAUGAAAGAUUCUCCGAUGAGCCCUAAAUUAGGAGGCAAGAAAUUAAAAUUAAAUGAUGGGAGUUCACAAGACAGUCUUAACGAAGGGGCAUCAGGUAGCAAAGAUAUUCAAGACGAGAAUGUAGACAGCGGUGUUUCUGCUGAUAAAUCUGAAAGUCCUAGUGAAGUAAAUAGCGAAGAGCGUGCAGUUUCGUCUAAUAUGGAGCCAACCAAUGAAGUAGUUAAUGCAGCGCCAUCCAGCAGCAACGUGCGAGCUAUUUUGCUGGAUUUGCGACGCCCAAGACACUGCAGAAUAUAUAGAAAGCGUAAGACACCUGACCGUGAUUCUGAUGAAAACUCUUCAAGGGAUUCUGAUGACUUGUCAAAUGAUGAAAGAUCAGACAACAUUCAGCUGUUUAAUACUUACUAUGAAAGUGCACCAGGUUCUUCAAUAAAUUCAUCUCCCAGCAUUAGUUCAAGUGAUUCAUCAGAAAGCAGUAAUAAUGAUUACAGUGAAGAUCAUACUCUUGACUUAGAAUUAGAAGAAGAUGGAGAUAGCGAAGAUACUGUAUUUCUUGAAAAUGAACAGACUUCAUCUCGAAAUAAACAAGACACAGCAACUCCACCUGUACUUCUUAAAACAAAGCCUAAACAUAAUUACGUUAUUCUAAGAGAAGUUAUUAAUCGUGAAAUGGGGCUGACAUUUCCAUUGGGAAAAGCUAUUAAAGAAGAUGUAAUGUUUGAGAAAAAGUUCUAUGGCUCAUUACAUGCAGUGUACAGAAUGGCAAAAUUUGACUCACUAAUGAAACAUCGAGGCUGUGUUAAUUCCAUUAAUUUUCAUCCAGAGGGUCAUUUAUUGGCCUCUGGUUCGGAUGAUACCAAUGUAAUUGUUUGGGACUGGGCAAGAAAUAUUCCAAUACAAACGGUGAAAACAGGACACAAAUCAAAUGUGUUUCAAAGCAAAUUCCUGUAUUUGAAUGCACAGACGCAACUCAAUAUCGUCACUUGUGCGAGGGAUGGACAGGUCCGAUUAAUCCAAUGUCCGGCCAGCGGAAUGAGCGGCGCGUCGCGUCGUAAGCUCGCGAACCACGCUCGGGCCGCGCAUAAAGUGCACGUUUCAGCUCACGAACCACAUUUGGUCAUCUCUGCCGGAGAAGACGCGGUCGUGAUGCGGUGUGACGUCAGAGAGGAACAUGGUUCCAAACUAUUCCAAGUACGCGAAACGACACCUAUUCCCUUAUAUAGUGUGGCGGGACAUCCGCUGAAACCGGAACAGCUUUUGGUAGCCGGCCGCGAUAUGUACCUACGUGUGUAUGAUACGAGGAAAACGGAUAAACCAUUGAACUUUUACACGGCAAACUUCACUCCGAAGUCGGGAUCGGUUCACAAGUCAAUGAUGCAUCUGACGUGCGCCGUGUACAACCACGAUGGGUCAGAAAUACUAGGAUCGUAUAACGACGAAGAUAUCUACUUGUUUGAUACGAAACUUGAUGUUUAUGAUAAGGACGCAACGGACAUCGACAAACAGACAUACACACACAAAUACAGCGGGCACCGGAAUAGUGCGACAUUCAAGGGCGUGGCCUUCUUUGGGCCCCAGAGUCAGUACAUUGUGUCGGGGUCUGAUUGUGCCCACAUUUACAUUUGGGAGAAACAGUCGGAGGCUAUCGUUCAAUGGAUGGAUGGGGACAAUAGUGGUGUGGUAAAUUGUAUAGAGCCCCAUCCCCGCUUCCCGAUAAUUGCUUCAAGCGGGUUAGACAAGGAUGUCAAGAUAUGGAUGCCGUGUCGACAGUCAGAUCCUGAUUUCAAAGGAAUGGAGAAGGUCGUUCGAGAGAACAGCGUGACCCGGCCUAGUCAAAUGUUCACGGAUUUUUUACCAACUCUUUAUAGCGCCUGGCGUGAGACAUUAACCGACGAAGACUCUCCGGCCUACGGGACUAAUAUAGACUUCGAUGGGAAUGCAUGCACCACAUUCUAGCAUUCUAGGAUUUCUCAUCUGAACUAAUUACAUGUUUUGUAUAUAGCAUAAGUUUCAGAAAGGUAUUUGAUUUUCACACUAAUAUUUUUUGUAUUUAUAACUUUCAAAUUUUAUGAAUAUCUGUUUUAUUUAGAUUUUAUAACAUUGCUAUUCUAAAAUAAAGGCUUUAUUUAACAUGGCAAUAUUUAUAUCUAUGUAUUACCAAAUUCUGUGUCAUAUGUUAGACAAUAUUUUAAAGGAAUUUGUUUAUUUUACGAAUAAUAAGGAACGUAUAAGGAAAACAAUCUUCGAUUUAAAUGUACACGCGCUUAUCAGGUGUCAAAUGUUUGUGGCACGUUUACAUAUAUUCUCAUUAGUAACAUGUAAUAUAACAAUGUAUAUUAUGGUUAAAAUGUGUAAAAAUGCAAUUUUAUUGUAAAAAAUUACAAUUAGUUUGUGGGGCCUUAUAAAACGUUGACUAAAAAGUUUUAGUGUUUGUGAUGAAUAUUAAAACUUGGCAACAUUUAGUCCACAUUUUUAUAGGUUUGUGUAAGAAUUUAGCAAAAUCUAAAAAAAUAUUUGUUUUAUCAUUAUGUAAUAAUAUUGGAUUUUCUUAUUCCUCUACUGCCAGGAAUUCAUUAAUAUAGCAUAUAAAAUUUAUAUCUAAAUUUGACAUAGUGUCGGCACGAAAUUUGAAUUACAAAUCGACUCUUGUGUAACUAGAGGUAAGAUUCUCCAUAUAUCUUACGCAGUUGUUAAACAAAAUUAUAUAAAGCUAUUAAUGAAAACUCAAUUUUAACAACCAAAAGUCUGUUCAAAAGGAGUUUUUAUAGAGCAAGACCAACAGCCAUUUAUCUAUGUAGUUUCUUAAUCACCUAAACUUUUGUAUAUAUACAUAACAGUAAAUGAACCCUAACAUACCAAUUGUAAUGAAUGUAAAUAAAUUGUUGUAAUAAAAUUAGUAUAAUUUUUGAAAUAGUUACUAGUGCUAGAAAUUGUAUUUAAACCUUAUAUUUAUAACCACGGAAGAGAUAAAUAAGAUUAUUUCCUACUUGUGUGAACAAAAUGUUUGCCAUCCAUUUAGUAUAAUUAAGAACAUACUUAAUAUAAAAGCUACACGCUUGCCUUAUUUGUCUAUUCAGUGGAAUUUUAAUAUUGAGCAAAGUUGAUUUUGUUUGUUGUAAACAGUUUUUGUAAUUGUAAUCGGCUUUUAUUUGUUUUCUUUUUUUUACUUUAUCAUCAUGUGUAGUGUAACACAAUGGCAUAUAAAAGUGUUUUCGGAAAAAAUAUAUCCUAAUUCAAAAAGUUAUUUGCUCUCUUUGUGCUUAGUUAUAAUAAAGUGUGAACCAAAUUUGUAGCUGUUUUCACAUUUAUUUGAUACAUAUUAAAAUGGCCUUCUUAGAUAUGGUUAUAUCUCGUAACGGUCCGUACGUUGUAAAGGAACGCAAACUAUAACAAUAAUAAAAAAAUAUAACCAACUCCAAAAUGCAUCAAAAUACGCAUUCGAAUACACGGCGGCGACUUAUGAAUUGUAAGACUUAAUUGGAUUGGAAUCCUGAUGAUCACGUUGGAAAUCUCUACUAGUACUGGUCUUCGAGUACAUGUACGUUUCAUCUUAAGCAUAAUAUUUUCCCGCUUAUGGUGAUAGUUUAUACGUAGUCGCAAUGAAACUUAUGUGCUUAUAUUAAAUAGCUGAUACUCAAUUGUAGAUAAUGGUUAAAUAGCAAAUUAUUAUGGAACAAAACGUUAGUUUUCUUUUAAUGGAAUAUUUGGUCGCUGAGGUUAAGUAAUGAUUUUGUACAUUUUCAUCUUUGGUUUAAUAAAUAAUUAUAUGAAGGUGUCUUGUCAAAUGCAAGAAUUGUGGUGUAUUGUAGGCUAAAGAAUAGUCAAUUAUUUUACUGCAAUAAUUAAUUGAUUUGCAUUUAAAUAUGUGUUUAAAUGCAAUUACAUUUAUGAUUGACAUGGGUGAGAUUAGACUAUUUAUUUCGGGAAAAUAACGGUUUUAUUUGUUACCAAAUGCAUUAGUCAAUUGUCAAAAUCGGUCCUAAUGACUUUGAAGUUAUUUGGACAAUAGACACCAAACUUAAGGCUCAGGUAAAAAUCAGAAUUAAGAUCCUAGAAUACAAUGCUUUAUGAUUUUACCAGUAAUUUAUAUAGAAAUGUUAUUACAAAAGUAAAGAACAUCGUGGUGUUUUUAAAAAUUAAACCAAUCAGGUUUUUUUCAACUAUCGAUUGCCAUUCAUUUACGCGAGUAUCACUUAUUAUUCUAUAAAGACUUAAGAUCACACAAUUUUAAUUAAAUUUAUAUUUAAUUCUACAAUUUCUACAAAAAUUAAGUAAGGUUUUAUACAAAAAUAUUUAAUAUUUUUCAAGUUCAAAUAAGUUGGAACAAUUCCCUAUCGACUUCACCGUUUUAUGUGUAAAUUCUAAGACUAAUAACUUGCUCACUGACAUGACAACAAGUAGGUGUGUAAUCUUUAACCGAUUUAAUAAAAGAUAUUAUCAGUUCGACCUGUAUAUGUAUUUGAUAUUGAUGGAAUUUGAUAAUAUUUGAGUUCAGUAAUCUAUUCAGGCUUCCAAACAUGUGUGCUAAUUUUUUUGAAUGUGUGAGUGCAUGUAUGUUUGGUAAAAAUUUCCCGGAAACUAAGACAUAUUGAGUUAACCUUUUUCAAUUGAAUUAGGUAUAUUUCAAAUUAGGAAACAAGUAAAGUCUUAUCAAAAUCUUUUAAGAACUUUUAGCGAUAUGGUUAUCCCAUACGCAUGUACGCACGAAAGGCAUAAAAUAUAUAGGUACUUACCUAGGUAAAUAAUAAAUUAUAUACUUAGUUAAUUCCCGUUCAGUUGUCAGGUAUUUCACGUCGAUUUUUUAAAUUACUUUUUUAUUUUUCUACUAAAAGUAGGUAAGUACUUUCUCUAACCUAUGCAAAAUUUGACCACGUAACGUGAUAAUAUUUAGAUCUAAAUAGAUAUAUAAAAUAAUAAAAUAGCUUCAAGGGAAGGUCAAAGGUUUAUGCAGCUAAGUGUAAAAAGUUCAAAAUAGAACUAAAAAAAAAAAUAUGCCUUUUUCGCCAUAACUCUACUGUCGAAAAAAUUUCUACUGUCCCUAUCAAAAGAAGAUAACUUCUUACCUAGUUUAUUUCUAUUGGAGGACUCGUCAGUACUCUAGGUAGACGCCAGUCACCAUUAUUUUUGGUAUGGCUUGUAGUGUUUAAUGUCCGAAUUUGGUGGUUAAACUCUUUUAAUUCUAAUAAUAAUAUUACGUUGACUUCUUCCAAUCCCUGUCAACUGUAAAUAAAAUAAACAGCUCGCCUACUUCAAUGACUAUACGCCGAAGUUUCUUACAUUUAUUUAAAUAAUUAAAAUCUAAUGGUAUUAAAUAGGUACCUCUCACACUCAUUGAUUUCACCCAUUUAUACUUACUGAACAUUAUAUAUUAUACUCAUAACCAUUGAUGCUAUCAAAUUGAAUCCACUUAGUAAGUAUAUAUACUAAAUAGAAGAAUAAAAUUUUUAUAUAUUUUACAACCAUAGAUACUAUUUUAAGGUUGGUACGUAUAUGAUAUUAAAUGCGCAUAAAAAACAUAAUUGCAUCAAACUUCAAAGUACAAACAUUUCCCGCUAUUUUCGUGAUUUAUGAAUGACAUGACAAUUAGCGACACGUAGUGACCAAAUUAGGAACUAAAAAAGAUUUUUUUGUAAAAUCCCUUCGAUUUACAUAAAAUGAUAACAUUGACGACAAUUCCACUAAGUUCAGCGUAAUUGAAACAUUAUUUAUUUUAGUUUUCAUCAUUAAAUUGUAAUGGUUAGUAUGACUUUAGCAGAGUUUUUAUUUUCAUAAUUGUCCACAUGCUGCUUUCAAUUUUCCAAUGGUCGCAGUUCUCGACCAAUCAAAUGCGAGGCGUGUAGAAGCCCGCGCCAUCUUCGAUUUCAAACUCGUCUCGUCUCCGCCGCUCGUUCACUUGAUCAGUCAGUCGCGCGUCGGUUUCGAACCACUAUAUACUUAACUUGUUUUAAUUUUAGUAAUUAAUAUAAAAAUCAGAACAACCAUGAGCUCCAAUGAUAAAAACAGUGAAGUGGCCGUAGACAAGGUUGGCGAAUCGGGAGACGCGAAAAGUGAUCUAAAGGGAGCCAAAAGGGCAGCAGAGGAAAAAGUUACGGAGGCGAAAAAGGCGCGAAAAGAGGAAAACGGCGGCGGUGGUGACGAUGGAGCCCACAGUGAAGAAGAGGAUGUAGAGGGAGAGGGUGAAGAAGGAGAAGAUGAUGAUGAAGAAGUGGAAGGGGAGGAAGGUGAAGAAGAUGAGGAAGAAUUAGCUGAAGAAGACGAUGACGACAUUGAAGAUGAAGAAGUUGAGGAGGAGUUAAUAGAUGAAGAAGAAGAAGAUGACGCGUAAUAGGGCUCACGCCUUUCUAUGGACAAUGUCACAGUGUAGUAAUUAUGAGUGCAUGUGACGCCCGGUUUCGGCCUCGGUUCGCCCCAACUGAAAGCGACAGCGGCACCAGCCCAGUUGAGAACUUCCGAGGCCUACGCUCCCACCUAAAAACGGGUGCACCUCUGUUUAAAUGACAAGAUUGUAAUUAAGUCUAAAUCCAGUGAUUUUCAUUUUUUUAUCAAGUUCAAGUACGGUUACUGGUUGCAACAAAUAUCUCUUAAGACUUAGUAGAAUGCUGUUGAAUUUUGUCAUGAAAUGUACAAAUGUGUUUUGAAAGUAAAAUUAAUUUCUAAGUGAAUCCAUUCUGUAUUUAGGUUAACCUGUGAGCCCUGAUGGUGAAGUUGUGAUAUUUUUCUGUACUGACCAAUGACCAUAUAUUUUCACAUACAGUAAUUGUAACCACAAUAGAUUGUUAUAAUUUAUAGAAUAAGUCACAAAACUCCUCAUACUUUCGUUGCGGGUGAUGAGUUUGUGUGUACAUAUUUAGCGUAAGUGGAGCUUAAGAAUUGCAAAUCAUUGUGAAAUAUCACAAUACGAAUCACUUUUAUUAUACAAAAUAACCAGACUUCCCCACAACUUACUAUCGUUUCAUUCGAAACUUUGCGAAAAUCUUUAAAAUUACAAAGAUUCUAAUUUUGAUUCGUAAAGUCUCGAAUUGCUAUAGUCAACUAACUUUUCCUGUGUAUUAUUAUAUUAACACAAGAAAAACAUCACAAUUUUGCCAUUAUCUUGUGCACAUCGCGCGCCCGCCGCUCGCUCCCCUAACGACUGAUAACGAGAGCGCGACGGCCGCCGCGUACGUAACGCGUUGCGAUAGCGAGCCUUCAUACCUAAAACCGGCCUGUAAUUUUGUCCAUAUUAUAAUUAGGAUUUAAUUUCGGCUCGGUAUUUGAACGUUUCGAAGAACGGAAUAAGAGAUUCCUAGGUUAAAAAUUAGUAUGUAGGUUGGUUCGUAACAAUAAUUCAUGAGGGGACGCGCCGGGUGCUAGCCGGGGAGAGGGGAAUGCGCGGCUUGUGGCGUCAGCGUCUCCCCUCCCGCGGAGUGCGUGGCCUCGUUCGAUUUGCCGCGCUGGGCUUGGGUCCCCGCGCCCCGCGCCCUCUUCGCUGGCGUCUGUCGCGACCGACGUCCGACACCUACCGAGCGACGGCAACGCGUCGGCCGCCAUGAAAAUCACUCAUCGAGCGAUAUCCAUUGCUGCUCGAUACGUUGCACUCCUAUCAUAGCGAUGUAUGACGAGGCUUUGUCUAACGUCGAAUCCUUGUGCAUAUUAUUUUCUCGUAAUUCGCGCGCCCGUUGCUGAAUGCCGGUCGAUUAAACAAUAACGUGCCGUAAAUGGUUAUAUUUUUUUUACGUAACACCUGGCAUACAGUAGACGGCGUUGUGGAUCGAGCGGCUUAGCAAAUAUUUCUCCACUGACAUUAAAAUAAUAAAAUUGGCGGAUAUUUAAUACACUCGUUAAAUAUAGUAAUAAUACUUUAGUAAUUAUGGACAAUGAAAUAAAUUCAAAUUUUAAAUGAACUUUUAUCCUUAAUUCUGACGUCCCGCCUUUUUUAAAUGGUAAGAUUACUAUGCUGUCGCAUAUUGUGUACGAUGUACGGCUGAUGUGAAUACCUUAGUACGAUUUAUUUAUUUGUGAUGUUAAACACAUUGAUUUUCUACAAUGGACGAAAUGUAAAUACAACUGAUUUAAGUAAAACGUUAUUUUGUUU